AAAAUGUUUUGUUAAAUGUUCUGGUUCAGCUGUAAUGUUGAAUAUUUAUCUGUGUUUUCAUGGUUAAACUAUUGAUGAGGAAUAGGUAGUAGUGUAUUGAUCAUUUUCCUUUGUAUGUUUCUCUUUGAUUUUCUCCAGGCGUCACCACUUGGUCUACAACAUCCUCCACGGGCGCCAAGACAUUGACGAUCGCAAAGGCAUGGUCCAUGAUCAGAGAGACAUUGUCGAGGAUGGGGGAGACAUUGUCCAUGAUCAGAGUCAUUGUCCAUGACUCGCAGAGAUAUGUGCAAAAGUCGGUAGUGAUGGAGUUCCCAGAUUUGAAGGCAUCGUCCCCGAUCAGAGAGACAUUGACAAUAUUCACAGAGACAUUGUCCACAAUCACAGAGACGUUGUCCACGAUCACAGAGAGUCUUUGUACAAUGAUGAAGUUGUUUGAGACCAGGACAGAGGCCUCCAGGAGGAGAAGACGACAGCAGCAGAAUGGCUGAAAGAGACAAAAGUCAAGUGUUACAAAGCUGUUAAUUACCGUAAUUUCCAGACUAUUGAGCGCACCUGACUAUAAGCCGCACCCACUAAAUUAAAAAAAAAAGUACAUACAGAGGCCGCACUUGUCUAUAAGCUGCAGGUGUCUAAAUAUUUUUGCAGCAUGAAACUCGCUUAGCCUGUAAAAAUCUACAAAUUAGCCGCAUCAUUGUUUAAGCCACAAGUUUCAAAGCGUGUGAAAAAAGUAGUGGCAUAUAGUCUGGACAUUAUGGUAGACAAAAGACCUCCAUCAUCUAACUGCUGUAAACAGUUUCGGGUUCCAGUUGUUAAAGUGAAAACACUUGGUUUCUCUCUGUCACCUAUAAUGUAGUCAUGGGAACAUUUUCCAAAGACUAAUAUGUCUUCAUUAAACCCCUGUGAGAACAUUCAACUGCUUAUGCUACAAUUAUUUAAUUCAUAAUUGUAGCACUAACAGUUAAAUGAUCACAAAAAUGCCUAGAAGACAUGUUAAUCUUUGGAAAAUGUGCUCAUAAUUACAUUAACCCUAACCAGCUGUAACAAGUGUGUCCUUGUGGUCAAAUGUCUGUCAUAAUCUUUGCUGUAAUUGUUAAAUGUUGUCUGGAAUAAAAUCAUUAAAAGUUUCUUCCUAAA